ACAGACUAACACGGCUGCUACUCUGAGAGCAGUUCAGUGCUCUGCAGCACAAAGACCCAUGGGAUGUGCCUUGAGGAGUCUUUGACACACACAGCUAAUCUGAACCGCAGAUAGUGAAUGGGGGCUGUUCCUGUGGGACGGAAAUCCACGUCUGUCCUGCGAGGCGUGGGCACGGGGUCUCAUCUUCCAAAAAGAACUGAAAAGCUGCUGGCUUUGGGUUCAGGGAUAAGCCUAAAGACAACGAGGUGUGCCCAGCUCUGCAAACCUCAGAUGAUCCAACUGAAGCACUACCAAUAAAACCCAUUCUCCUGAGGCCCCAUCCAGUGCACUAUCCACAGGCCCACAUUGCCUCCCCAAGAGAGUAUAUCAAAGCCCAGUGAUGGCAUUACCUUUGGUGCAGGCUGUGAUUG